CUGUCCAGAAUAAUAUAUUAAACCUGAAUUAAUAGUAAACCAGAGUUUGUAUUCGUCUAAAUCAUCGACUAAAUUACAAUGCAGUAUUAAAGAUAAUCCCGGUUCACGAUGUGACCUGCAGUAUUUAACGAUUAAAAACGCAAAUCGACGCACGGGUUUAAAUAACCUAAUUUAUGGACAUUCGUGGUAUAUAACGUUUUGAUUUUU